GGAUGCGAUCAUACCAGUACUAACGCACCGGAUCCCAUCAGAACUCCGAAGUUAAGCGUGCUUGGGUGAGAGUAGUACUAGGAUGGGUUACCCCCUGGGAAGUCCUCGUGUUGCAUCCC
rfam:Nicotiana attenuata strain TT scaffold15489, whole genome shotgun sequence.